rnacentral:rRNA from 1 species
UAGGGAAUCUUCCACAAUGGGCGCAAGCCUGAUGGAGCAACACCGCGUGAGUGAAGAAGGGUUUCGGCUCGUAAAGCUCUGUUGUUAAAGAAGAACACGUAUGAGAGUAACUGUUCAUACGUUGACGGUACUUAACCAGAAAGUCACGGCUAACUACGCGCCAG